rnacentral:tRNA from 1 species
GGGGUUGUGGCUCAGGUGGUAGAGUGCUUGCCUUGCAAGCGUGAGGCCCUGGGUUCAAUUCUCAGCACCGCA